AACUGUGAAACAGCAGUAGUCAACAUCUAUCGAUGGAAGAUCAGAGUACUUGAACAAGAAUUGGAAAGAACAAUUGAUUAUUUUCAAUUUCAGAUUAUUUAUUUGAAGAAAAAUGCAAAUGACAAUUGGUGGGCAGCUCGGUUUGCCGAGAGAGAACUCGAUGACUUAAAGAAAGAGUAUGUUUGUAAAAGGAAA